CCUUUUCCAGAACAUCAUAUAGUUGGAAGCAUACAGUAUAUAGCUGUUUCGGAUUGGCUUCUUUCACUUAGUAAUAUGCAUUUCAGUUUCCUCCAACUUUUUAC